AUUGAACGCUGGCGGCAGGCCUAACACAUGCAAGUCGAGCGUGAAACUUCCUUCGGGGAGGAGUAAAGCGGCGGACGGGUGAGUAACGCGUAGGAAUCUGCCCAAAAGAGGGGGAUAACUUGGGGAAACCCAAGCUAAUACCGCAUAUACCUAAGGGUGAAAGGUGGGGAUCUUCGGACCUACCGCUUUUGGAGGAGCCUGCGUCGGAUUAGCUAGUUGGUGGGGUAAAGGCCUACCAAGGCGACGAUCCGUAGCUGGUCUGAGAGGAUGGCCAGCCACACUGGGACUGAGACACGGCCCAG
rnacentral:rRNA from 1 species